CUUUUCCCUCCGUUACUGUGUCGUUUCCUUCUUCCUUUUUCCCCCGCGAGUCGUGCCCUACUUCACGCCGAUUCCCCCUUUGCCUCUUCCUCUUAGCCACUACCCUAGUGCCGGCGCCACCUCUUCUCUUCUCCUCUGCGCGCCGACGCCGACCCAGCACCCCGUCGGUCGAGCCUCCUUCCCGAUCUUACCUCCCUCUCCUCUCCAGCGACGCCGAUUUGAUUGUCGAGUGCCACCCGAAUGCUGGUCGUCGUCUACUUCUUGCCCUAGUCGUCUCCACCACCGUUUGCUACGGUCGAUCACCGCCGGUGUUCUUCCAUGCCCUAGCGCUGAAUGCCGGCAGCCGAAUAAUUUCAUCUACCCUAGUUUGGAUCAAAAGCCCUCUCCGCCGCUGAGAUCAGGAACGCGCCGACGACGUUCAAGCCACUGCCGACCCCCUCCUCUGCGCCCUAACUCCCUGAUUUGAGGAGUUUCCUCUUCUGUAAUUGCCCUAGCUUCGAGUCUAACUCAGCCAUCGAUCGCCUCUUCUGGCCCAAGAAGAUCCCUACCACAGUGUACCGGCUUUCUUGAGAUGAAUUGGUUGUUGGAUGGAUUCAUCACUGCUGGAGAAUGUGUCAAGUGUUGUGCUAGUGAGGUGUUGUUAGCCAUUGCAACUCUAGCUAUGUUGUUCGUGGACGAUCCAUGGCUUCGGCCAACCUUCCGAUCUAAAGUCAUCCUUUGAUGGUGAGCUAUCAACAACCCACUUGAAUUCGGGAUUUGAGUUGGAUGCGAUCUCUUGGACUUGUUGAGGACGGUUGAUACGACCUGCGUAUGA